GCAUGGUCAGCUGAUCCUCCAGUGAACUGAGAAGGUUUAUAGUCCUGGGAGUUCAACACUGCAGGACUCAGAUCUGUCAGUCAACACAGCAGAAAGCACGACCACCAUGACUCUCCUCACCAUCCUCAUCUGGACGCUGGCCUGCUGCUGUCUUACAGGAUGCAGCGGUCAGGUGACUGUGACUCAGCCUCCAGUAGUGACAUCUACUCCAGGAUCCACUGUCACUAUCACCUGUAAAACCAACAGACCGAUUUAUCAAUAUGAUGACGGAGAUUGGGCUAUGUUCUGGUAUCAACAGAAAUCUGGACAGACUCCAAAGCUCCUUAUAAAAUAUGCUCACACCCUUGUAUCAGGAACACCAGCUCGGUUUAGUGGCAGUGGAAGCAGCUCUGACUUCACUUUGACCAUCAGUGGAGUUCUGACUGAAGAUGCAGCAGUUUAUUACUGUCAGAGUUACCACAGUGGUGUCGUGUACACUUUUGGUGGAGGAACCAAACUCACCGUUGACUUGGGUGUGGUGCGUCCCACCCUGAGCCUCCUCCCCCCCUCCAGAGAGGAGCUGCAGCAGGGCAGUGCCACACUGGUGUGUCUGGCCAGCGGGGGCUUCCCCUCAGCCUGGAGGCUGGGCUGGAAGGUGGGGGGCAGCAGCAGCUCCUCAGGGGUGUCCCACAGCCUGGAGGUCCUGGGGAGUGACGGCCGCUACAGCUGGACCAGCACCCUGAGCCUCUCUGCAGACCAGUGGAGGAAGGCGGGCUCAGUGAGCUGUGAGGCCAGUCUGAAUGGACAGAGCCCUGUCACUCAAAGCCUGGACCCUGACCGCUGCUCAGAGUAGAGCUUCAGCAACACUUCCUGUCUGGAAAUGCUGGUGCUUCUUUGAUAGAGAUCUUGAUGAGCUGCACAUCUCCUCUGCUCCAUAUUAUUUCUUCUGCAACUGUUCCCCUCUCCGAGCUCUCUACUCUGUGUUUUAGUGUGCAUGUUGCUUUCUAAUACUCAUCUUCUGCACGUUCUUUAUGUUCAUCACUUUACAGGUUACACUGAAUUUGAUUAGUUUCACUUAAAGAGAAUGUAUUCAUUCCUCAAAAAUGUGCUAUGAACAUUACACAAUCAUUAAAUAAAACUGUGGAUU